rnacentral:rRNA from 1 species
UACGUAGGCAGCAAGCGUUGUUCGGAGUUACUGGGCGUAAAGGGUGUGUAGGCGGUUCUUUAAGUUUGGUGUGAAAUCUCCCGGCUUAACCGGGAGGGUGCGCCGAAUACUGAGGGACUAGAGUACGGGAGAGGAAAGUGGAAUUCCUGGUGUAGCGGUGAAAUGCGUAGAUAUCAGGAGGAACACCGGUGGUGUAGACGGCUUUCUGGACCGUAACUGACGCUGAGACACGAAAGCGUGGGUAGCAAACAGGG